rnacentral:misc_RNA from 1 species
GCCUACUGUUUAAUUUUGAGGGUUCGUUUUUACGAAUACUCAAAAGUAGCACUUUAAGCAACGGAAUUUAUUCGUUGGCGCUGUGCAUUAGCACUUUAAGCAACGGAAUUUAUUCGUUGGCGCUGUGCAUUAGCACUUUGAAAACUGCAUAUAUAUAUUUAGUGAUAUGACAUCUAAUUUGUAAUAUAUAAAGCUGAUAACUUUUUAAAAUUAUCGAAGUUGAUAGCUUCUAAUCUAUCAAACCUUUUUGACUGGUCAA